rnacentral:rRNA from 1 species
UGACAAGCCGGAGGAAGGUGGGGAUGACGUCAAGUCCUCAUGGCCCUUAUAGUGGGGCUACACACGUCAUACAAUGGCUGGUACAAAGGGUUGCCAACCCGCGAGGGGAGCCAAUCCCAUAAAGCCAGUCGUAGUCCGGAUCGUAGUCUGCAACUCGACUACGUGAAGUCGGAAUCGCUAGUAAUCGUGGAUCAGAAUGUCACGGUGAAUACGUUCCCGGGUCUU